rnacentral:rRNA from 1 species
UACGUAGGGGGCAAGCGUUAUCCGGAUUUACUGGGUGUAAAGGGAGCGUAGACGGUGAUGUAAGUCAGAUGUGAAAGCCCGGGGCUCAACCCCGGGACUGCAUUUGAAACUAUGUCACUAGAGUGCAGGAGAGGUAAGUGGAAUUCCUAGUGUAGCGGUGAAAUGCGUAGAUAUUAGGAGGAACACCAGUGGCGAAGGCGGCUUACUGGACUGUAACUGACGUUGAGGCUCGAAAGCGUGGGGAGCAAACAGG